rnacentral:tRNA from 1 species
UCGGCGUACGGAGUGCGGAAUGCGGACGCGGGCUUCGGACCCGCCCGGCGAGCGGGCGGGUCCGAAGCCCGCGUGCCGGG